UGAGAUGAGCCUGCGUUAGAUUAGCUAGUUGGUAGGGUAAAGGCCUACCAAGGCGACGAUCUAUAGCUGGUCUGAGAGGACGAUCAGCCACACUGGGACUGAGACACGGCCCAGACUCCUACGGGAGGCAGCAGUGGGGAAUAUUGGACAAUGGGCGCAAGCCUGAUCCAGCAAUACCGCGUGUGUGAAGAGGGCCUUAGGGUUGCAAAGCACUUUCAAUUGGGAGGAAAACCUGCCGGUCAAUACCCGGCAGCUUGACAUUACCUUUAGAAGAAGCACCGGCUAACUCCGUG
rnacentral:rRNA from 1 species